rnacentral:lncRNA from 1 species
GUAAUGUUAUCAUCAGGAGAGUAUCAAAAAAAGUAAGGAUUUUCUUAUUGAGCAAGAAUUUUACAACUUAGUUGCACAAGAAGACCAAUGCAGAGAGAACCGUAAAUUAGCCUUCCAUAUUAUGAAGAGAUAUUAUAAAUAUCUGAAAGAUGCUCAUCUUGGACUGAACUAGUUUGGUACAGUGGUGGAACACUUGUCUACAUGUGCAGAAUACCCAGUUUGGUCCCUAGCACAGAGUAAAGAAAGAAAAAAAAAAACUAAAAAAAAAAUGGCCAAAAAGAAUGCACAGAGAUUAAAUAAAUAUCUGUAGUACUUUGUCUUAUAAGUUUAUACUUGGUAAAGUUUGUUUAGGGAAACAAACAAUUCUAGAUGUCUUCUUAGGGAAUAUUGUCACCUAAUACUGAGAAUGAGUGAAUGAGGUUUGGCUCUGGUAGCUAGACACUCAAGGAUAAGUCUGCUUUCUAAACCAUAGAUUUUAAGUCUCUUCUAGGGGGAACAAAAUACCCAUGGGAGGAGACAAAGUGUGGAGCAGAGACUGAAGGAAAGGCCAUCCAUAGACUGCCCCACCUGGGGAUCCAUCCCAUAUACAGUUACCAAACCCAGACACUAUUGUGGAUGCCAAGAAGUGCUUACUGACAGAGGCCUGAUAUAGCUGUCUCCUGAGAGGCUCUGCCAGAGCCUGACAAAUACAGAGGUGGAUGCUUGCAACCAACCAUUGGACUGAGCACAGGGUCCCCAGUGGAGGCGUUAAAGAAAGGACUGAAGGAGCUGAAGGGGUUUGAAGCACAACAAUAUGAACCAACCAGUACCCUCAGAGCUCCCAGGGACUAAACCACCAAGUAAAGAGUACAUAUGGUGGGACCCAAGGCUCCAGCUGCAUAUGUAGCAGAGGAUGACAUUGUUGGACAUCAGUGGUAGGAGAGACCCUUGGUCCUGUAAAGACUUGAUGCCCCAGUAUAGGGGAAUGCCAGGACAGGGAAGCGGGAGUGGGUGGGUUUGUGAGCAGGGGGAGAGGGUAUGGUAUAGGGGGUUUUUGGAGUGGAAACCAGGAAAGGGGAUAACGUUUGAAACGUAAAUAGAUAAACUAUCUAAUAAAAAAGUUAAGUCUCUUCUAAAUGUUCACAGAAGAAUUUCCUGUAUGUAAGACAUUUGGAAGUUGGUUUAACUCUGUUUUUCCUUUGUUUUGUUCCUCUUAUUUAAUCCAUAGUAGCUAUGUACCUAAAUAUUUAUUAUAUCUUUUUCAAAAGACUAGUGUUUUUCUAAGAAUUUUUCUGUUUUUUAUAACAGCAUUUCAAAAGCUUGGCUUUUUCAUUCAUAUCCUCCUGUCCUCCUUUCCUCCCUCCCUCCAUCUCUCCCUUCUUCCUUCCCUGUCUCCUCCCUUCCUUCCCUGCCUGCCUGCCUUUCCUUCCUACUUUUCUACUGUAUAUGUAGGGUGUAUACAUGUAAACAUUUGCAGGUGAGAGUUUAAUACUAUGUGUCUUCCUCUGGGCUGUGAGAUAGGGUCUCUUACUGACCCUAGAACUCACCAAAUUGGCUGUCUAAUAAGCCCCAGGGGUCUGCUGGUUUAUCCUUCUUUAGCCCUUGUGAUUAUAGGUUGUGCUACUUUGCCUGGCUUAAAUGUAGACGUUGGGGCUCCAAACUUAGUGCUUACAUAGCUAGCCCUCUACUUACUCAGCCACCUCUCUCUCCCUGGGCCUCUCUUUCCCUUGCCUUUUAUUUUAUUUUAUUUUAUUUUAUUUUAUUUUAUUUUAUUUUAUUUUAUUUUAUUUUUGCCAUGCUUGAGAUUGAACCCAGGGAGUACCUUAGCUUUUGACUGAGUUGUAAUUUUUUUUUCUGUUGCUCACAUUCACUAACUCACUCAUUUAUAUACGUUUAACAAAUAUGUCACAUAUUCUCUUUAUAUUUCAGCCAGUUGAUAAGCAUGGAGAUUAUAAAACUGAAUAAAUAGCUGUAGUCUCUGCUCUCCUGAGCUCAAAUUCAAAUCAGAGGCAAAAAGUAUGGGGGGAAUGAUGUGUGCCUGUAAACCCAGAACUUAGGAGGCUGAGGCUAAAGAUCGGAGUUCAAAACCCACCAAGGUCACAUAGUCUUGCCUCAAAAAACCAAAUUAGUACAAACCAAACUAAGGUCAACCAACCAACAAAUAAAAACAAAUUGGGAAAAGCAGAUAAUAAACAACUAUAUACAUAGCAGGAGGUAGUAAAUGUUAUGAUGACAAUAGAGCAGGAAUAGAUGUAAUAUUGUUUGUUUGGCUGGGGUUUUUCAGGUUGGGGUGGGGGAAUUGUUUCCAGUGUAUGGAGUUCUCUUUCCUUGAGAAUAAAGAAUUUCUGUGCAAAUGGUACUAGUGUGAACAGCACUAUCUCACAGUGCUCUGUACUCUGGAUUAUAUUACUGAUCCAGCAUACUUUAUCAGCAAGGGAAGUUAUUUGUGAACCGGGAAACAAUUGUUUGCUUUUUAUGGCAACCUGCCCGAGGAAGAUGGAAAUGUUCUGAAGACAGCCUCCCUCCUUAUGGUAGAUGCUUGAUUUC